CCGGAUCUCAGAUCAAGUAAGAUUACCCGCCGAAUUUAAGCAUAUAAUUAAGCGGAGGAAAAGAAACUAACUAGGAUUCCCUCAGUAACGGCGAGUGAAGCGGGAAGAGCUCAGGAUGUGAAUCUGCGCUAUUAAAGCGCCGAAUUGUGGUCUGAAGACUUUGGUGUUAUCUGCCGGGCCAAGUUCCUUGGAAAAGGACAGCUGAGAGGGUGAGACUCCCGUCCGCCUGGUAGAGUGAGCCAUUUGUCAACGAGUCGAGUUGUUUGGGAUUGCAGCUCUAAUUUGGUGGUAAAUUCCAUCUAAAGCUAAAUAUUGGUGGGAGACCGAUAGCGUACAAGUACCGUGAGGGAAAGAUGCAAAGAACUUUGAAAAGAGAGUUAAAGAGUACCUGAAAUUGCUGAAACGGAAGCGAAGGAAACCAGUGUUUGUUUGUUCAUAUUUCCCUGGCCACUUGUGGUUUGGGCGCUGUGGGCUUGCGUGGGUUUACUUUGGUUGAUCCCUUUGGAAGAGCGCAGUCAGAGUUGAUGUCUGUUGCUAGCACUGGGUUCGACUUGAGUAGACGAAAUGGUUUUCUUUACCCCGUCUUGAAACACGGACCAAGGAG
rnacentral:rRNA from 1 species